UAAGUGAAGUAGAGUAGAGAAUAUGAUACGUUAUUGCUUCACAAAAUGGUCUUGUUUGGGAAAUGCUGAUGUAUUUCAAUUUCCUCAUUCUACCUAAAGGAAAAAUCGAGGUUCAAGAAGACAAAGAGUCUUACCACAGGAUCAUGUAUAAUAAAUACUUCUGGAUAUCACCAUCAACUUCAUCUCACUGCACCUUUACUUUUUCAUCAACAAGGCACACAUCUUCAUCUGUAACUGAUAAAGAAUUUUAAAAAUUAAAAUACAGGGUCAAGAAUUGAAGAGGCCUGACCAAUACAUAGCCCAUCUUGUAAAACUACAGCCUGAAGCAAGUACUUCAAAAAAAGCAUGACACUUUCUAAAGGUUAUAAAGAGUAAAUAAACCAUCAAAUUACUCCUCUUUUAUUGUUUUUAUAAAAACACUUAAAUCCUUGUAGUCCUA